rnacentral:rRNA from 1 species
GACGAACGCUGGCGGCGUGCUUAACACAUGCAAGUCGAACGAGUGGGGACGGGUGAGUAACACGUGGGUAACCUCCCAUCAGAGGGGAUAACACUUGGAAACAGGUGCUAAACCGAUAUUGAUGGAUGGAACCGCGGUGCAUUAGCUAGUUGGUGAGGUACCGGCUCACCAAGGCCACGAUGCAUAGACGACAUGAGAGGGUGCUCGGCCACACGGGGACUGAGACACGGCCCAGACUCCUACGGGAGGCAGCAGUAGGGAAUCUUCGGCAAUGGACGAAAGUCUGACCGAGCAACGCCGCGUGAGUGAAGAAGGUUUUCGGAUCGUAAAACUCUGUUGUUAGAGAAGCGGUAUCUAACCAGAAAGCCACGGCUAACUACGUGCCAGCAGCCGCGGUAAUAC